rnacentral:rRNA from 1 species
GCAAGCCGAGCGCGCCCGUUCGGGGUGAGCGGCGGACGGGUGAGUAACGCGUGGGAAUAUGCCCUUCUCUAAGGAAUAGCCUCGGGAAACUGAGAGUAAUACCUUAUACGCCCUACGGGGGAAAGAUUUAUCGGAGAAGGAUUAGCCCGCGUUAGAUUAGGUAGUUGGUGGGGUAAUGGCCUACCAAGCCUACGAUCUAUAGCUGGUUUGAGAGGAUGAUCAGCCACACUGGGACUGAGACACGGCCCAGACUCCUACGGGAGGCAGCAGUAGGGAAUCUUAGACAAUGGGGGAAACCCUGAUCUAGCCAUGCCGCGUGUGUGAUGAAGGCCUUAGGGUCGUAAAGCACUUUCGCCAGAGAUGAUAAUGACAGUAUCUGGUAAAGAAACCCCGGCUAACUCCGUGCCAGCAGCCGCGGUAAUACGGAGGGGGUUAGCGUUGUUCGGAAUUACUGGGCGUAAAGCGCACGUAGGCGGAUUAGUAAGUUAGAGGUGAAAUCCCAGGGCUCAACCCUGGAACUGCCUUUAAUACUGCUAGUCUUGAGUUCGAGAGAGGUAAGUGGAAUUCCGAGUGUAGAGGUGAAAUUCGUAGAUAUUCGGAGGAACACCAGUGGCGAAGGCGGCUUACUGGCUCGAUACUGACGCUGAGGUGCGAAAGUGUGGGGAGCAAACAGGAUUAGAUACCCUGGUAGUCCACACCGUAAACGAUGAAUGCCAGACGUCAGCAAGUAUACUUGUUGGUGUCACACUAACGGAUUAAGCAUCCCGC